AGUGAACGCUGGCGGUAGGCCUAACACAUGCAAGUCGAACGGCAGCACAGUAAGAGCUUGCUCUUACGGGUGGCGAGUGGCGGACGGGUGAGGAAUACAUCGGAAUCUACUUUUUCGUGGGGGAUAACGUAGGGAAACCUACGCUAAUACCGCAUACGACCUACGGGUGAAAGCAGGGGAUCUUCGGACCUUGCGCGAUUGAAUGAGCCGAUGUCGGAUUAGCUAGUUGGCGGGGUAAAGGCCCACCAAGGCGACGAUCCGUAGCUGGUCUGAGAGGAUGAUCAGCCACACUGGAACUGAGACACGGUCCAGACUCCUACGGGAGGCAGCAGUGGGGAAUAUUGGACAAUGGGCGCAAGCCUGAUCCAGCCAUACCGCGUGGGUGAAGAAGGCCUUCGGGUUGUAAAGCCCUUUUGUUGGGAAAGAAAAGCAGCAGGUUAAUACCCCGCUGUUCUGACGGUACCCAAAGAAUAAGCACCGGCCAACUUCGUG
rnacentral:rRNA from 1 species